CCUACGGGAGGCAGCAGUAGGGAAUCUUCCGCAAUGGGCGAAACCCUGACGCAGCAACGCCGCGUGAGUGAUGAAGUUCCUCGGAACGUAAAGCUCUAUCAGUAGGGAAGAACAUACCGGUACGUAACUAUGCACGCCUGGCGAAAUACGGGCCAGCAGCCGAGGUAAUACGUAGGGGGCGAGCGUUCUCCGGAUUUACUGGGUGUAACGGGAGCGUAGACGGUAGGACAAGUCUGGUGUGAAAGCCGAGGGCUUAACCUUGGAGGGUCAUUGGAAACUGUGCAGCUGGAGUGCAGGAGAGGAAAGUGGAAUUCCGAGUGUAGCGGUGAAAUGCGCAGAGAUUAGGAGGAACACCAGUGGCGAAGGCGGCUUACUGGUCUGUAACUGACGUUGAGGCGCGAAAGCGUGGGGAUCAAACAGGAUUAGAUACCCUGGUAGUC
rnacentral:rRNA from 1 species